UGGAUCCAGACUUUGAUUAUGGCUCAGGAUGAACGCUAGCUACAGGCUUAACACAUGCAAGUCGAGGGGAAACGAUAUUGGAAGCUUGCUUCCGAUAGGCGUCGACCGGCGCACGGGUGAGUAACGCGUAUCCAACCUGCCCACCAUUUGGGGAUAACCUUGCGAAAGUAAGACUAAUACCCAAUGAUAUCUCUAGAAGACAUCUGAAAGAGAUUAAAGAUUUAUCGGUGAUGGAUGGGGAUGCGUCUGAUUAGCUUGUUGGCGGGGUAACGGCCCACCAAGGCGACGAUCAGUAGGGGUUCUGAGAGGAAGGUCCCCCACAUUGGAACUGAGACACGGUCCAAACUCCUACGGGAGGCAGCAGUGAGGAAUAUUGGUCAAUGGACGAGAGUCUGAACCAGCCAAGUAGCGUGCAGGAAGACGGCCCUAUGGGUUGUAAACUGCUUUUAUAAGGGAAUAAAGUUAGUCUCGUGAGACUUUUUGCAUGUACCUUAUGAAUAAGGACCGGCUAAUUCCGUGCCAGCAGCCGCGGUAAUACGGAAGGUCCGGGCGUUAUCCGUAUUUAUUGGGUUUAAAGGGAGCGUAGGCCGGAGAUUAAGCGUGUUGUGAAAUGUAGACGCUCAACGUCUGCACUGCAGCGCGAACUGGUUUCCUUGAGUACGCACAAAGUGGGCGGAAUUCGUGGUGUAGCGGUGAAAUGCUUGGAUAUCACGAAGAACUCCGAUUGCGAAGGCAGCUCACUGGAGCGCAACUGACGCUGAAGCUCGAAAGUGCGGGUAUCGAACAGGAUUAGAUACCCUGGUAGUCCGCACGGUAAACGAUGGAUGCCCGCUGUUGGUCUGAAUAGGUCAGCGGCCAAGCGAAAGCAUUAAGCAUCCCACCUGGGGAGUACGCCGGCAACGGUGCAACUCAAAGGAAUUGACGGA
rnacentral:rRNA from 1 species